CCGAGACACCAGUCGGACAUUUUGUUUCGGAGUUUAGGUAGAAAACGGAGAGCAAGGAGGCUGCGCGGAAUCGUGUUUUGCACAAUUAAACUGGUCCUUUUCGAUUGAAAAGGAUAAUAAACGACAUCUUACUUCGGUAUCUCGAACGCUGACAAGCCAGGAGACUGUUUUUUCCCCCCCAUUUGUUUGCCUUUUAAAUUGCCGCAUAGAACAAUAGGGUUUGUAGAAACCAUUCAUUGCAAGCGUGGUUGGUCAGGGCCUACGUGUUUGCGAAAUAAUUUUAAAACAAAGCGAACUGUCAUCGAAUUGUUUUUUUUUUUUGUUUGUUUGUUUGUUUUUUAUUGCUUAAAGCUCUUUUGAUACCUGGGGCAUAAUUAUUAUUUACAAUAAUAAUAAAAAAAAAAAAAAAACUGAAAAGUUGGUCGGGUUGCAGCAUUCAUCAUUUAGAUCUUGUGAUUGCGGGGUGAACGUUGUGUAGCUCAUUUAGGGUAAAAAUGGCAGAGUUAUAUAUACGGGUAGCGGAGGAUGAAAACGAGGAACCGAUGGAGAUCCCCUCGGAGGACGAUGGCACGGUGUUACUUUCCACGGUAGCAGCGCAGUUCCCCGGGGCCUGUGGUCUGAGGUACAGGAACCCGGUCUCCCAGUGUAUGAGAGGGGUCCGUGUGAUGGAGGGGGUUUUGCAAGCACCGGAGACCGGCUGGGGAAAUUUGGUCUACGUUGUCAACUAUCCAAAGGAUAACAAAAGAAAAAUGGAAGAAAUUGAUGCCUCAUCUGCAGUGAAGAUAAAGAGGGCAGAACUGAAGACCUCAGAUUUAAUUGUUCUUGGCCUGCCCUGGAAGACAUCCGAACAGGAUCUGAAAGAAUACUUCAGUACCUUUGGAGAAGUCCUAAUGGUGCAGGUUAAAAGGGAUUUAAAAACUGGCAAUUCCAAGGGUUUUGGCUUUGUAAGAUUUACAGAAUAUGAAACGCAAGGAAAAGUGAUGUCACAGCGGCACAUGAUAGAUGGAAGGUGGUGUGACUGUAAACUACCUAAUUCUAAGCAAAGUCCUGAUGAACCCUUGAGAUGCAGAAAAGUGUUUGUUGGACGCUGCACUGAGGACAUGAGUGCUGAAGAGCUUCGGCAGUUCUUUAUGCAGUAUGGCGAGGUUACAGAUGUCUUCAUACCCAAGCCCUUCCGAGCUUUUGCUUUCGUCACCUUUGCAGAUGACCAGGUUGCCCAGUCCCUUUGUGGAGAGGACCUGAUCAUUAAAGGAAUCAGCGUGCACAUCUCGAAUGCUGAGCCUAAGCACAAUAAUAGUAGGCAAAUGCUAGAAAGAGGGGGGAGAUUUGGGAACAGCCCGGGGUUUGGGAACCAGGCGGCGGGGUUUGGUAAUGGCAGAGGGAGUGGAGUUCAUCUCAUUUCCAAUAUGCCUGGAGGAAGCGCUUCACUGGCAGCAAUGUUCGAGCAAUCUCGGUAUCAGUACCCUUCUUCCCAUGUCUAAAUGCUAUUGUCAUCAAAGAACACAGCUUCACUCUGCAUAAACUGUGUUAGACGGGACCUUGGAUAAGGAGUGAUCUGUCCCAUCAUGGACCCAGGUUCACAUCUGUACCAGGAAGACCCAUCAUUUUUCUGAAGGCCAUUGAAGACCCAAGUCCUAAGGAUUGUUGGUGGUCCCAAACUAGCUAAUGGUGGAUAGUAGCCCAUUCCCUCUUAAAAUAAGCCUUCCUCCACUUAACCAGACUUUGGGAGCUCUCCUUUCACAUACUAACGGACAAUUCAUAGAGCUGAACUGGGGAGGGCAACAAAGAGUCAUGAAAUUAAAUCUUUUAAUGCUGUACACAGGGGGUAAGUAUAUAUGCUUAGUUGGUGGGUGGAGGCAGACAGUUUGGGAAUCUUGUAUUUCUGUGAAAGACUUCAUACUGUGGCUAACAUACUCCCUGUGUAACUUAAACAUCUGUUCGUAACAUUUUUUUUUUUUUUUUAAAUCCUUAAAGGCUAUGGGUUUUGUAUUGUGGCAAAUCCAUGGAAUGUGUUCUUGCAUCUGUUAAGGUUCUUGCUAAAGUGUUUUGAGAUCAAUGAGUGAAUUCAACUCUGCUGAAAAAAAGUACAGCGAUGUAUGUAUAAAUCUGUUUAAUUGUGAUUUAAACACUUAUUUUACAAAGUGGCCUAUAUCGGAGACCCUUUUAUUUUUCUAGUGUGAAUUAAAUAAUUAAGUAAAUGCUGUGCGAUCAGGCCCCUUGUGCUUUUCUUCUAAAUAUUAAAAUAAAACAUGGCCCUUUUAAAUUGUGAUCCAAAUCAGUAACUAAUGUCUUGAGUUACAAAAAUGUGCUGCUGAUAAAUUUUGUAUUUCAUCACCAUGUUUCAGUUUGAGGGCAUGAUUGUACAGAAGGUUGAAGGGGUUGAGAAGCUUUUAUUUGAUUUAAUGUAUAGGCUGUACUUUUUGAGUGAACGCCUGCUGUUUAGGACCCCUUUUGUAAAUGGGACAUGUUGUCCCAAUGGGUUAAUCUGGUGAGAAAAAUGUUAAUAAAUUAAUAAAACUUGGGUUA